UACGAAGGGGGCUAGCGUUGCUCGGAAUCACUGGGCGUAAAGGGUGCGUAGGCGGGUCUUUAAGUCAGGGGUGAAAUCCUGGAGCUCAACUCCAGAACUGCCUUUGAUACUGAGGAUCUUGAGUUCGGGAGAGGUGAGUGGAACUGCGAGUGUAGAGGUGAAAUUCGUAGAUAUUCGCAAGAACUCCAGUGGCGAAGGCGGCUCACUGGCCCGAUACUGACGCUGAGGCACGAAAGCGUGGGGAGCAAACAGG
rnacentral:rRNA from 1 species